UACGAGGGGGGCUAGCGUUGCUCGGAAUUACUGGGCGUAAAGGGCGCGUAGGCGGACAGUUUAGUCAGAGGUGAAAGCCCAGGGCUCAACCUUGGAAUUGCCUUUGAUACUGGCUGUCUUGAGUUCGGGAGAGGUGAGUGGAAUGCCGAGUGUAGAGGUGAAAUUCGUAGAUAUUCGGCGGAACACCAGUGGCGAAGGCGACUCACUGGCCCGAUACUGACGCUGAGGCGCGAAAGCGUGGGGAGCAAACAGG
rnacentral:rRNA from 1 species